rnacentral:misc_RNA from 1 species
GGAAGUAAAAGUCUAACAAGGUCUCCGUUGGUGAACCAGCGGAGGGAUCAUUACAGGACUCGCAAGACUCCUUCACCCUGUGAACCUCACUACAAGCACGUUGCUUCGGCGGGUGUCCCGGCGGGGGUUUUCCCUCGCCGGGGCGCACAGCCCACCGGCAGCCUACUAUACUCUGUCUCUUUGCGUUGGCAUCUCGAGAAAAAACAAACAAGUUAAAACUUUCAACAACGGAUCUCUUGGUUCUG